ACACAGUGAUCUGACUAGUCCACU
rnacentral:siRNA from 1 species